GUGGCUCUGCUCUAACCGAAGCCUGACGUUAUGCGUCAGAGAUUCAUGUAGGUUACGCGGGGCCAU
rnacentral:ncRNA from 1 species